CUUCUCAGCUCCAGUCUCAAGUCUGACAGUCUUUUUCUCAGCCUGGAACAAACUGAUGACGGUACCAUGGUGCAGACAGUCCAGGGGAAUGUGUUCUAUCCAUCAUCCGCAUCUAUAUACACAAGGUCCAGAAUGCUAUCACCUCAUUAGGCCAGGAGGUAUAUCAAGCCUGCUGAACAGUGUGUCUAUCAGGAAGAUGCUGGAAAAGGAGUGCAGUACAGCCUGAACACAUUUGGAUUGUCAUAAGCUAACCCUGUAUGGCCCAUUUCAGUGAAAUUGGCCUGAAGGAAACCUGCCUGUUUCACUCGGAGCUAAUGAACAGACAGGCUUUUGUGCUGUCCAACUGCAAGUAAUUUCUUAAAGCGAUUAACCUUGCUCCUCCCGUAUAAGACAGACUGACUUGUUGAAGCGCUGUUAAUCUGCCAUAUGUGAGAUGUUAACUCACAUCAGGGUUCGACUUCUGAAACCCUCCUCCGGCCAUGAAAUGCAAUAAAUAAGACUGUGGCUGCAGGUCCAUCGGCUGGGAACUGUGGGGCUCUUGCUAAAUGAUUGACCCACACGUCUUGUCAUGGUAGCCAUCUGCAGUCGACAGCUGCCUCCAACUCUGUGGAUUAAAGGAAGAGGAGAACGUGCUUACGAAAAUGCUUCUCACUUUUGUGCUCUACCUGCCACUCAUAAUACUGAUAUCACUGAGUGGGGCAUAGAAGACCAUACUGUACACUGAA